CAAACCAAUAUGAUUCAUUAGCCAAAAUACACAUAUAACCUAUUCAAUAAUUCAACCUUAAACAUCCAAGUACUAACUAUUAUUCCAACAAUUUCGAUUCAUAUUUCCUUCACAUAUCCAUACCAUUUACAUAUCCUCAUUCCAUCAACUACUUACCAAAACAUGCCAUAUCUAGUACACAUAAACAUAACCCAAUAUUUAACCAAGUUAAGCCAAAUCACAUGUCUUAAACAUAUCAAUGCAUAUAAGCUUCAAUAGCUUACAUAACUCAUACAUCUCAAAACAUCAACUAGCCUAUACAUGUCAUAUUACCAAUUUCAAAGAGUUCAAAAAUACCAAAUCAACUCCUGGAUAGUGUGAUGAAAUCUUCGAUAACUUUCAACCCGAGCGAGCUUUCAAAUCACUGUAAAAUUUAAAAAAUAAACAGAGUAAGCUAAUAAGCUUAGUAAGCUCGUAUGACUAAUAUGUACUAUAUACAAUUUAACAAUUAAUUCAAAAUUAGAGAAACAUGAGCAUAUAUAAAUCAAUCCCAUCAAAGGCAACACGUAAAAUAAUAACAACCUGGCAAUUUCUGUAUGUAUUCAUCGGUUUUCACUUACAUAUCAUAUGAAAUUAUUAAAUAUCACUUACUUGUCGAGCGUGCCAUGUAUACCUGAACUGAUUCAUAUCAUCAUUUCAAUUCUCAUACCAUUAUCUUCUCAGUUCAACUAUGGAAAUAACAUCGAAUAAUAUGUAUCUUGCACACUAAUGGGCAUAUAUGUGGUUAAACCACCUAUAUCUCGAUUCACAUAUAUAACAUUUUUUCAUACGUCAUUAUAACCUAUAUUACCAUUUCAAUACAAUCCAACCAAAUUUGCCAAAUACAUAAGCUUAUAAAAUCAUCAAUACCAUGUAAUUCACAUAACAUUGUGGCAAUUCAUUUCUAUUCGUAUAAACUAUAAUUCAUCCAUAUAACUAGUAGUUCAUCCGUAUAACCCGUAAUUCAUCAGUAAUAACAAUAAUUUAUCCGUAUCAAAAGUAAUUCAUUUGUAUUAACAGUAAUUCAUACAUAUCAACAAUAAUUCAUUCAAUUCAACAGUAAUUCAUCCAUUAAUACAAUAUUCUGUAUUAUUCCAAAAUUCACAUAUCAUACAUAUAACAUUAAUAUCACUUAUAACCCUUAACUUAUCCGUAUAACAGUAUUUAGGCCUGUUGAACCUAUUAGAACUUCAAAGGAUAGUCGAGUGAACAAUGUCAUUAAUCCGUCAAUUCAUCAUCAUACAUGCUCUUUUGAGUCAUGGUCGGUAAACUCCUUCUGAGCUGAUAAACAGUAAGCUCUUUUGAGCUAAAAACAGUAAGCUCUAUUCAGCUGAACAGUAAGCUUUAUCGAGCUGAAUCGGUAAGCUCUAAUGAGCUGAAACAGUAAACUUUUAUAAGCUGAAUUGGUAAGCUCGUAAGAUCUGUGGUAAGUCUGCAACAAAUGCAGGAGCUCGACCAAUACGAUAAUCCCAGUAAUAUGUCACUCGUAUCCAAUGAAUUCAUAUAGUUUAAACGGGGCUCGGUAACGAAUACAAUAUAUCAUUAAGACAUUUAUAUUUCAAGUAUUUCAAUUAUAUACAUUCAAUUCAACAAUUACAAAUAUAGAAAAGUUCGAUUCUAAUUAUAUGAACUUAACUGGUGUCGCUCAAAUAAAAUUAUCGGCUAUUCGUCCACUUUUCAUUUUCCCCGAUCUAGUUCCGGUAAUUGCUUAUCUUGAUCUAUAUAUAUAAUAUCAAAUUCAGCAUAUUAACUUUUCUUUCUAUUCAAUUUGACACUAUAUACACAUUUUGGAAAAAUUAUGCUUUUUCCUAUAAAGUUUCACACUUUUACAAUUUAGUCCCUAAGCUUUUAAAAUGAAAUUCAUUCAAUUUUGGCCAAACCCAAGCCUAGCCGAAUUUAGCACAACUUUAUAGCAGCCCAUAUUUUCAUUUAUUCACACAUCUAACCAUGAAUUUUUCACUUUUCUCAAUUUAGUCUAUUUUUGACAUUUUUGUCAAAAAUCACUUCAUAAAACUUGUUAAUCUAGCUUCAAACAUUAAUAAUCUAUCAUAAAACAUCUAAAAAACCUAGCAUUCAACAAUGACAUCAUUCAAAAUCUAUAUCAGUUUCGAAAAUGAAGGUACGGGCAAGCUAGAUUAAGCUGCAACGAGCUCAAAAACAUAGAAAUCAUUAAAAACCAAGCUCAAACCGUACCUUAAUUAAGCCAAAUGUGUGCCGAGCCCUAGCAAGCUUCUUCCAUGGUUUUUCAUUUCUAUUUUAGAUGGUGAUGAA
rnacentral:lncRNA from 1 species